GCUGAGAUAGCUCAGUUGGUAAAGCAUGAGACUCUCAAUCUCAGAGUUGUGGGUUCAAGCCCCACACUGGGCA